CGGGGGGCAGCAGUGGGGAAUUUUGGACAAUGGGCGCAAGCCUGAUCCAGCAAUGCCGCGUGCAGGAUGAAGGCCUUCGGGUUGUAAACUGCUUUUGUACGGAACGAAACGGUCCCUUCUAAUACAAGAGGCUAAUGACGGUACCGUAAGAAUAAGCACCGGCUAACUACGUGCCAGCAGCCGCGGUAAUACGUAGGGUGCGAGCGUUAAUCGGAAUUACUGGGCGUAAAGCGUGCGCAGGCGGUUAUAUAAGACAGAUGUGAAAUCCCCGGGCUCAACCUGGGACCUGCAUAUGUGACUGUAUAGCUAGAGUACGGUAGAGGGGGAUGGAAUUCCGCGUGUAGCAGUGAAAUGCGUAGAUAUGCGGAGGAACACCGAUGGCGAAGGCAAUCCCCUGGACCUGUACUGACGCUCAUGCACGAAAGCGUGGGGAGCAAACAGGAUUAGAUACCCCGGU
rnacentral:rRNA from 1 species